GUGACCUCAGUGACUCUGUCCCUGACUCUGCCCCUUGUGAUGACCCCACCACUGACCCGCAGGCCUUGGAGGGGCUGAUCCUGGAGAAGCCAAAGGACCAGGAGGACACCAUGGGGGUGCUGCUCAGGCUGAGUGGGAAACAGAGCAGUACAGCUUCAUCAUGAGGGUAGCCAUUGUCAUCUGGGGCAUCCACGGGGGCCCUGCUCAGGAAGUGGGCACCUUCCAUGAGGAAACGUGUAUGACUUUCUCUCCACGGUAGGAGGAGCUGAUCCAUGACUACUUGGACACCAGCUAAGGAUGGGACAAGGCCGGGGCCUAUGCCAUCCAUGCGUGGGGAGCAAUGCUGGUGGAAGGCGGAUUUUGCAACAUCCUCAAUGCUGCGGGCAUCUCACUGAACCACUUCAGCUGCGAGCUUGCAAGGGUGCUGCCAGGGACAGGAAGUGACAUCGCUGUGGAGGGGACGGCAGGAAGUGAGCUGGAAGAAAAGUGUUUUGAAACUGACCCUACAGAUAAAAAGAGUUCAUUGUGAAUGCGAUACCCUCCUAUACUGUUGUCAGAAGCAACCCUCCAUCUCCAACUCCAAAAAUAAAUGAAAACCAAACCACACAGUUGGAAAUCAGCAAGAAGAGAACGGAUGGUGGAUGGCAGCAGAUGGACAGGAGAGCGCUCAGCAGCACUUGCUCUUCCAGCCCGUCACGCCUCCUCCACUGCUGAUAUCUACGUUUUCACUGUUGGGUUCUUUUACAGGGGUCUGCAACAACACAAGGAAGCAAGCAACCCGUGAGAAAACACUGGCAUGGAUGAAAACAGACUCACUGGAAAGAC
rnacentral:lncRNA from 1 species